AGUGUUGUAUUCAACUUUCGUCGUCAAGAAACAUGUACUUUAUCAUAUUCUUGAAAUAUCACAAAUUGCAGUAAAUUUUAGCAAUACAAUCCAGCGAUAGUGCAGUCUAAUUGCUUUAAAAGGAAAUCUGAAUCCAGGCCAAGAAAAUGGAAAAUUGGUAAUUGCCUUGUAUCACUGCCAACUAUAAGACACAGACAGUCUUGAGCAAAAAUAAUAAUAAAAGAAGAGACUUUUUAAGAAUGCGUUUGCGAGAGAACCAAGCAGGGACCGG